GCCUGGCUGGCUCAGUCAGUAGAGUAUGUGACUCUUGAUCUCAGGGCUGUAAGUUGGAGCCUCAUGGUGGGCA
rnacentral:tRNA from 1 species